UUUCCGUAGGUGAACCUGCGGAAGGAUCAUUCAUAAUCAGUGUUUUAUGGCACUUUUUUAAAUCCAUAUCCACCUUGUGUUCAAUGUCAGGGUUGGCUUCUUUUGAUCAGCCCCAAACAUCAAAUAUUAUGUCAACUCUUUGUCUGAAAAAUAUUAUGAAUAAAACAAUUCAAAGUACAACUUUCAACAACGGAUAUCUUGGCUCUC
rnacentral:misc_RNA from 1 species